rnacentral:rRNA from 1 species
GACGAACGCUGGCGGCGUGCUUAACACAUGCAAGUCGAACGGAAAGGCCCUGCUUUUGUGGGGUGCUCGAGUGGCGAACGGGUGAGUAACACGUGAGUAACCUGCCCUUGACUUUGUGAUAACUUCAGGAAACUGGGGCUAAUACCGGAUAUGAUCUCCUGCUGCAUGUUGGGGGUUGGAAAGUUUCGGCUGUGGGGGCUGGACUCGCGGCUUAUCAGCUUGUUGGGGUGGUAGUGGCUUCCCAAGGUUUUGACGGAUAGCCGGCCUGGGAGGGUGAACGGCCACAUUGGGACUGAGAUACGGCCCAGAAUCCUACGGGAGGCAGCAGUGGGGAAUAUGGCACAAUGGGCGGAAGCCUGAUGCAGCAACGCCGCGUGCGGGAUGACGGCCUUUGGGUUGUAAACCGCUUUCGCCUGUGACGAAGCGUGAGUGACGGUAAUGGGUAAAGAAGCACCGGCUAACUACGUG